rnacentral:rRNA from 1 species
GAUGAACGCUGGCGGCGUGCCUAACACAUGCAAGUCGAGCGGAAGGACGAGGCUUUUGCUUGGCUGACGUGAGGGGCGGGCGGGUGAGUCACACGAGUAUACCGUACCUAUCAGACUGAGAUCAUUACGGGAAAGCGGAUAUAACACGGGAGAAGAUGUUGAACCGCGGGGGUCAUAGGAGAGAGACGGCGGUGGUGUCCCUAAUAGAGGGUUCUGGGCUGGAUUAGCUAGUUGGUAGGGUAACGGCCUACCAAGGCGACUAUGCGUAGCCGAUCUGAGAGGGUGAUCGGCCACACUGGAGCUGAGACACGGUCCAGACUCCUACGGGAGGCAGCAGUCGGGAAUGUUCGGCAAUGGGCGAAAGCCUGGCGCAGCGAGGCCGCGUGUGUGAUGAAGGUCUUCGGAUCGUAAAGCUCUCUUAUUAGUGAAGAACAGCUGUGUCAUUAGACGUGGCCUUCUUGACGGUACCUAAUCAAAAAGCACCGGCUAACUACGUG